GGCAUGUAGCCCAGCUGCUUCCUGGAAUGGAGAGAACUUUGUGCUGAUGCCCUUGGAGGUGGGCCUGAACAGGAAGCAGUCCUUCUAUUAUGGUGACCCAGGCAGUGAUCGAGACCGUAAGCUCUCCUGUUCACGCAAACAGCCCUUAGAAGUCCAGAACUGAGACGGUGGAAACUGCACACCUUAAUGUUUUCUUUAGGAGACAGGACACCUCCUGAAACAAGCUGCCCUUCUCAGGAACCACCAUACUGUUUUCCACAGUGGCUGCACCAUUUUACAUUCCUACCAGCAAUGCACAACAGUUCCAAUUUCUCCAUAUCCUCACCAACGACUAUGCUCAGAACAGCCAGCCUAGUGGAUGUGUAGUGGUAUCUUACUGAGGUUUUGAUUUGCAUUUCUCUAAUGACUAGUGAUGUUGAGCAUCUUUUCAUGUGUUUUUUGGCCAUUUGCAUAUCUUCUUUGGAGAAAUGUCUAUUCAAGUCCUUUGCCCACUUUUGAAUCGGGUUGUAUUUUGUUGUUGUUGUUCAGAUGCACUUUUAAAAGCAGUGCCAAGAGCUGCCUGUACAGAGAGGGAGAAGUGAGUGAGUAAGAAGC
rnacentral:lncRNA from 1 species